CUACCCUUGACAUGUCAGGAGCCUCCGAGAGAUUGGAGGGUGCCCGAAAGGGAGCCUGAACACAGGUGCUGCAUGGCUGUCGUCAGCUCGUGUCGUGAGAUGUUGGGUUAAGUCCCGCAACGAGCGCAACCCUUGUCAUUAGUUGCUACGAAAGGGCACUCUAAUGAGACUGCCGGUGACAAACCGGAGGAAGGUGGGGAUGACGUCAAGUCCUCAUGGCCCUUAUGGGUAGGGCUUCACACGUCAUACAAUGGUACAUACAGAGGGCCGCCAACCCGCGAGGGGGAGCUAAUCCCAGAAAGUGUAUCGUAGUCCGGAUCGCAGUCUGCAACUCGACUGCGUGAAGUUGGAAUCGCUAGUAAUCGCGGAUCAGCAUGCCGCGGUGAAUACGUUCCC
rnacentral:rRNA from 1 species